CUCUGUGAAAUUCAUUCUCCGUCGCUCGUUCCCGCUCUUCUCCGGCUUUGUUCGGAGAAUGAAAGCGCGGUUUUUCCCUCAUCUCCUUCUGAUAUUUUAGGGUUUCUCUAUCUCCCUAUCUCUCCUUCUCUCUCUAUUCACUGGUUUAUACGGUUUAUUGCCUCGUUUCUAGGGUUACCUGUCGCUGCUGCUUCUUUCAUUCAUACCGUUGUGAAUAUUAAUACUCAAAAGAGCAACGAUGGUUGCACAGGCAUUCACCGUGGACUUGAAUAAGCCUCUUGUCUUCCAGGUUGGUCAUCUUGGUGAUGCCUAUCAGGAAUGGGUUCACCAGCCGAUCGUAAGCAAGGAAGGUCCUCGCUUUUUUGAGAGUGAAUUUUGGGAGUUCCUCACACGCACCGCAUGGUGGGUAAUCCCAAUCAUCUGGUUGCCAGUUGUCUGUUGGUCCAUCACCACAUCGAUUCACAGGAGACUUUCGAUUCCACAAGCAGCUCUAUGUGUUGGUUUUGGGAUUUUUGUAUGGACGUUGGUCGAGUACACCUUGCACCGCUUCCUCUUUCACAUCAAGACAUGUAGCUACUGGGGGAACACCAUGCAUUACCUUCUUCAUGGUUGCCACCAUAAGCACCCAAUGGAUGGACUGCGGCUAGUUUUCCCACCUGCAGCAGCAGCUAUUUUAUGUAUUCCUUUUUGGGGCCUUCUCAGACUUCUAUCAACCCAUUCGACUAGUCCAGCCUUGUUUGGAGGCGGUCUAUUGGGCUAUGUUAUGUAUGAUGUUACUCACUAUUACCUUCAUCAUGGACAGCCGUCCAAAGAAGUUGCUCGCAAUCUUAAGAUCGAUCCAAAAAAAAGAAAGAAGGGAGCAUGUAUUAUCUUUUGAGCCCGCUUGUUGUCCCUCUCUCUCUCUUAUACAUGCACGUGCAUACAGGCAGAGAGAGGGAGAGUGAGAGGUGGCAUAGGAGAAAUAAAUGCAGAGGGACACAGAGAGGUGGAUGCAGAGAAAGAAAUAGAGAGAGAGAGCGGGGGAGUGGGGUGACCAUGGAUCUCUCAAAGGAACACAAAAGAGCAAACAUGGUGAACUUCUUCUGAAUCAGAAUGUUGUUGUCUUUUUGAAGCAGAUGAUGAACAUCUUGUGAAGAAAAUCAGAUGCGAGUCAUGCUGUAUUUUUUAUUCUGAUGGGUUGAAUCAGGUUUAGAGAAAAGCCCUUUGUAUGUUUUUCCUUAGUUUAUUUUUUCUAAUAUGUUAUUUGAGCUAUGUUAAUUUAGGGAUUUUUGAGUUAUGUUAAAAUUGAG